AACAUUGGUCAAGGGGUGCAACCCUGAUCCAGCCAUGCCGCUAGUGUUAAGAAUGUCUUCUGAUUGUAAAUCACUUUAAGUCGAAAAGAACGGCUUUAGGUUAAUACGCUCAAGUAUUGACGUAACCAACAGAAUAAGCACCGGCUAACUCUGUGCCAACAGCCGCGGUAAUACAGAGGGUGCAAGCGUUAAUCGGAAUUACUGGGCGUAAAGCGCGAGUAGGUGGUUCAGUAAGAUGGGUGUGAACUCCCCGGGCUUAACCUGGGAACUGCUUUCAUAACUGCUGAGCUAAAGUACAGUAGAGGGUAGUGGAAUUUCCUGUGUAGCGGUGAAAUGCGUAGAUAUAGGAAGGAACACCAGUGGCGAAGGCGACUACCUGGACUGAUACUGACACUGAGGUGCGAAAGCGUGGGGAGCAAA
rnacentral:rRNA from 1 species